AGCGCUGCGGAUGUAGGCACUGCUGGUGCUCCUGUCUGCUGUCCACUGCCACCUUGGCCUGCUUUUGCCACCCUGGCGCCCCGAACUCUGUGCCGCCGCACCCUUCACCCAGUCUUGGGACGGCUGGCGCUAAGAAUUCAUGCUAUGACCUUCGAUUCAGCCAGGAGGUGACACCAAGCUCGAUCAGAAACUAUGCCACUGGUGAAGAGGUAUAUUGAGCCCUGCGUGGCCCAGUGAGGUUACUAGAGAAUUGGAAGAGUCUCAAAUCAGCAUCCUGCACAUGGUUAUCAAACCAUUGUGAAGUCUUAGUAAGUGGUCAGUGGCUCUGGUGGGCUUGCCCAGUUAGUGUCUUAACAGGCACUAGGCAGUUACUUGAUAUUUUCCCAUUAUGAUAUGAAAAGUUUUUUGUUUUUUGUUUUUUUAGGGCUGUACCCGUGGCAUAUGGAGGUUCCCAGGCUAGGGUUCAAAUUGGAGCUGUAGCUAUAUGCAGGCCUACACCACCCACAGCUAUAGCAACUUGGGAUCCGAGCUGCGUCUGCAACCUACGCCACAGCUCACGAGAGUGCUGGAUCCUUAACCCACUGAGUGAGGCCAGGGAUUGAACCUGUGUCCUCAUGGAUACUAGUUGUGUUCUUAACCCACUGAGCCACAAUGGGAACUCCAAAAAACAGUCUUUAUUUCAGACUAGAGAGUGAUGAGCCUAAUCUCUCUCUUUCCCCGUCUCCCAUUUUUGCAGAUGAUAUCUUGCCCACCAUAAUAGUUGGUGUAGAAAAUGGAUUUGAAUCCAAGCCCAAUAUUGUUUCUUCCACCUAGUGCUUCCUCUAGAUUCCACCUAAGUCCAAGGAGGCGAUGUGAGACAGAAACAUUUUUAUUCCACAUGGAAAGAUUAUAAUAGCCUCUGACAUUGUGCUCCUCUGAUGAAGGAAAUGUCCAUGGUAUAAAUUUUUAUUGUGCAUAAAAUCACCUGGGAAGCUUGUUAAAAAUGCAGAUUCCUAGGCAGCUAGAAGCCUUGUCAUUGGUCCAGAGCAACAUGAAGACCUACUUGUCACUUACACUGAGGCUUCCUGCCCAGUGGGUUCACCAGCAAGCCAGAAGGAAGCAUCACUGCCAUGGAUGUCCUUGUGAGGCAGUUGUGAAGCCUUGGUCUUCAGCUUCCAUUUGACUUUCCAUCUUGUCCACUGAGGAUAGCAGAGUUAAGUCAGGAAAAGAAAAUGGUUGUCCACAGAGGGAGAACUGAUCACUGUCUGAUCUUCAAAGAUGCUUUUCUGGCCGUGGUUGGGGCUCUUAGUGCUCACUGCCUGGACAGAGACCUGUUUCAACAGGGAGAGCUUUAGAAACAACUUGUCAAGUUUUCACCACAAAUACCAUUGGAGUUACAAUUGGAGUCUCACUGAAUUAUAGAGUAAUUUUUGGAGAGCUAUCAUCUUUAUAAUCUUCUCAUACAUGAAUGUGAUGUUGCAUUGCUGCUGCCGCUGCUGCUGUUACUACAACUACAAUUGCUGCCAGUUGCUCCUUGCGUAGGACCAGAGUGAUCAUUCAUCAGAAACCUCAUCUUCACAGUCUGGGGUUUGUUCCUGUGGCUGGUAUUCACAGUUUUCCCCUUCCAACUUUACCUCAGCUAUCCCCUUACCUACAUUAACAGGAGUUGCUGGUAGAAGACUUCAUGAAGGAGAGAAGAAAAGGAAAAAAUCAGAGGAUGACUACAGCCUCCUUCAUCUCAGCUUUUCAAAGCAUUACUCAACAGAGGGAUCACUCUCUUGAAUACUCUCCAGACCACAGGCCAUCAGUCUAUUACAGGCUCUAACUGGGAGGAGCCUUAUUGUGAAUGAAGCUUCGGUGGGUGCUAGGAGUAACACCGUGUUUCUCUGGAUAUGAGAAGAAUGGAGGGCAGAGAGCAAGGGAAGGAAGCUAUGAAAUAUUGGAGUAACAAAUGCUUGACGUUUUAGUGGGUAUUGGACCUAGAAGCCUAUAUGAUUGAAGGAAGCAAACCUGGAGAGGUCUGAUGUUUGUGAGUGAAGAUAGGAGUGAACUCCUUAUUGCAAUUAAAAAUGGAGUGAGGGGGAGGAAAAAAAUGACAGAAAUCAUAAGAUCCAUUACUUCAGUGAAGGAAGCACUGAGACUUGCUUCAUAAACCUGUAAUUUUUAAAGGUAGAUUGAAGAUAAGUUGUUGUGCUGCACUAUUUCUAUUCCUACCCGUGAGAGUUACUGCCAGCCACUCUUCUCAGGUAGAUCUGCCUUUAUGGAAAUUUCUGUUGACCCACGUAAAGAAACAACCCAGAAAAACAUUUGCAACAUUGAAGAACUCUGGUUCAGUGACAGGGUGUUAAAGGAGUCGAGGAUAGAGGAAAUAGCUCAAGUAGUACCAAAUAGCUCAGGUUGUUUUUUUUUUUUUCUUUUUAAUAGGAUGAUUGGGCCAGAGACAGUGGGCAGAAUGACUUCAGGCAACCCCAAACACCAGAUAUGGCAUAAGGAAACAGUUCAAGGAAAAGGUCAAUCCUUGGACCUAGUAUUUGUGAUGCAAUAUCUUAAAUUAAAAGGAAGAGCUGCUUUGGAGAAGGGUUUUAAAAGAUUGUAUUUCAUAGAAAGAAGAAAGAUUUGAGGAGAAACUUCCAAUUAUAUAAGAUGGGCAUUAUAACUUUUAAAGACAUCUGUUGCCUGCAUGGGUCAUAGAGAUUGAUACCAGUAUCAGCCUGUGGCUGACUAGGCCAGUUUAAGUGGUUUCCUGUUCGAAGAGAGAUGCUGCCAUUCUCUCACUUUGGCAGGUAUUCACCUGCAAUGAGUCCAGUACCUGGAGGAGCAAGAAAAAAACAAGCAUCCAGGGGGACAAUAGUAUAGCCUUCUGAGUUAAGAUAGCAACUGAAAAGAUCAUGGGAUUGGCUGCACUGGGCUGGGCUUGUUUGUUUUUUCAAAAUAAAAAAGUUUUCUUUUUGAUGACAAAAGUAAGAGAUGAUCAUUCUUUAAAAAUAAAGUGAAAAGUAUAAAAGAGUAAUGUGCUUCCUUUUACUCUAAAAAAAGUGUAUAUAACACAGUUUAAAAAUAAAAUUGACAUUGUAUUUUCUGACUUUUCUCAUUUAAAAAUAAGCAUUCUUCCAUGUCAUUAACAUUAUUUAAAAAUACAAUAUUGUGUCACAUUUCAUAUGGAUCUAACAAAAUUUAUUUAGAUCGUCUCAUGAUGCAGAUAUUUUGGAUGUUACCAAUUUUGUUUAUAAAAUUCUGAUGAACAUAUUGUAUAUUCACCUUUAUAUGCAUCUCUAUUUCUUUAGAAUUAAUUCCUAGAAUUGGAAUUACUGAGUUUGAAUUAUGAGAGCAUUAUUAGGGCACCUGAAAGGUACUGUUAAAUUAUACUGAAUAUAGUCACACAAAUUACAUUCCCAUCAGUGGUGCAUGAAUGUGCUAUUUCUCCACACAUUCAUCAAAACAUGCUCUUUCCUUUAAUAAAUCUCUGAUCAUUUGAUAGGUAAAUUUCCAUUUGUUUUAGAGAUUGUUUCUAAUUUACAUACACUAAAAUUCACUCUUACAGUGUAUAGUUCUAUAGUUUGACAAGUAUAGAGUCAUGUGUUCUUCCAUUCUAGUACCAUACAGAAUUGUUUAAUCUCUAGUAAUUUCUCUUGAUUGCACUUUUUGUUGUAAAUCCCUUUCCCCAUCUUCAGUCCCUGGAAACUACUUGUUUGUCAUCUAUCCCUAUGGUUUUUGCCUUUUACAGAAAGUCAUAUGGAUGGAAUCAUGCAAUAUGUAGACCUUUUUGAUCUGGCUUCUUUCACUUAGUAAAAUGAAUUUAAGUAUCAUCUACAUUGUUUUUAGGUAAAUUAAUAUUCAUUCCUUUUUAUUUUUGUACUUCAUUGUAUGGCUAUACCAGUUUGUUUAUCCAUUCAUUAAUGGAUAGACAUGUGAGAUGUUUCCAUUUUUAGGCCAUUAUAAAUAAAGUUGCUAUAAACUC
rnacentral:lncRNA from 1 species